GAUGAACGCUGGCGGCGUGCCUAAUACAUGCAAGUCGAGCGAACAGACGAGGAGCUUGCUCCUCUGACGUUAGCGGCGGACGGGUGAGUAACACGUGGAUAACCUACCUAUAAGACUGGGAUAACUUCGGAAACCGGAGCUAAUACCGGAUAAUAUAUUGAACCGCAUGGUUCCAUAGUGAAAGACGGUUUUGCUGUCACUUAUAGAUGGAUCCGCGCCGCAUUAGCUAGUUGGUAAGGUAACGGCUUACCAAGGCAACGAUGCGUAGCCGACCUGAGAGGGUGAUCGGCCACACUGGAACUGAGACACGGUCCAGACUCCUACGGGAGGCAGCAGUAGGGAAUCUUCCGCAAUGGGCGAAAGCUUGACGGAGCAACGCCGCGUGAGUGAUGAAGGUCUUCGGAUCGUAAAACUCUGUUAUUAGGGAAGAACAAAUGUGUAAGUAACUAUGCACGUCUUGACGGUACCUAAUCAGAAAGCCACGGCUAACUACGUG
rnacentral:rRNA from 1 species